rnacentral:rRNA from 1 species
AGCGAACGCUGGCGGCAGGCUUAACACAUGCAAGUCGAACGGGCAUAGCAAUAUUUCAGUGGCAGACGGGUGAGUAACGCGUGGGAACGUACCUUUUGGUUCGGAACAACACAGGGAAACUUGUGCUAAUACCGGAUACGCCCUUACGGGGAAAGAUGUAUCGCCGAAAAAUCGGGCCGCGUCUGAUUACCUAUUUGGUAGGGUAAUCGCCUACCAAGGCGACGAUGAGGAUCUGGUCUGAGCGGAUGAUCGACAACGUUGGAACUAAGACACGGACCAAAAUGGGAGGCAGGGGAGCAGAAGAGAAUAUUAGAGGAGGAACGAUAGCGUAGUAAAGCCAUGCGGGGGAAGUGAGGAAGGGGCUAGUGUAGUAAAGCUGUUUUGUGCGAGAAGAUAAUGACGGUACCGCAAGAAGAAGCCCCGGCUAACUUCGUG